AGCAACUCUGUCGUGGACACAUUUACAACUGAUCACUGCUGUACUGAACUGAGAGCGACGACACUGAGGCAGUGAAGGUUUAACUGGGCUGCGGCACCUGGAGCUUGUGUGGAUUCAGUUUGUUCUCAAAGGACAUUUCAACAGGACAAACUGCAUCAAGGAAGAAACAUGGUUGCUCAGAGACUUGGCACUUCAAUAAAAGGGUUACAGUGGAAAUCAACUUCAAGUCCUAGAAUAUCAGAGGAAAACAAACACCAACAAAAAGCAACCGGCUCUUAUCGGAGCCUGGAUCAUCCACACCGUAUGACACGACAUGGACUCAUUUAAAGACGGACUUCAGGGAACUGAAUCUGAGACAAAAAGAUCGUGUUGGAGGCUGAUGGUGGAUCCUGAUAGUUGUGGUGGUGGAUCCUGAUGAUGGAUUAUGGAGCGUGAUCGUGGUGGCAGCUGAUCAUGGACAAUGAUAACAACAAGACUACUUCACAUACUAUUCAUCUGCUCACAUACUCCACCAUUACUUACAAUUAGGGUUGGGUACCGAUACAACCGGUACCUACCCGGACCGAAAUGCAACGGAGAUUUCGGUGCUUCAUUUCGGUGCCUGAGCCAAUGGAAGACUGAGGUCUCCGCUCCUCCCGCCUCCUCACACUUCC